rnacentral:rRNA from 1 species
AGCGAACGCUGGCGGCAGGCUUAACACAUGCAAGUCGAACGGGCAUCUUCGGAUGUCAGUGGCAGACGGGUGAGUAACACGGGGGAACGUACCCUUCGGUUCGGAAUAACGCAGGGAAACUUGAGCUAAUACCGGAUACGCCCUUUUGGGGAAAGGUUUACUGCCGAAGGAUCGGCCCGCGUCUGAUUAGCUUGUUGGUGGGGUAACGGCCUACCAAGGCGACGAUCAGUAGAUGGUCUGAGAGGAUGAGCAGCCACACUGGGACUGAGAAACGGCCCAGACUCCUACGGGAGGCAGCAGUGGGGAAUAUUGGACAAUGGGCGCAAGCCUGAUCCAGCCAUGCCGGGUGAGUGAUGAAGGCCUUAGGGUUGUAAAGCUCUUUUGUCCGGGACGAUAAUGACGGUACCGGAAGAAUAAGCCCCGGCUAACUUCGUG